rnacentral:rRNA from 1 species
AGAGUUUGAUCCUGGCUCAGAUUGAACGCUGGCGGCAUGCCUUACACAUGCAAGUCGAACGGCAGCACGGGGGCAACCCUGGUGGCGAGUGGCGAACGGGUGAGUAAUACAUCGGAACGUGUCCUGUAGUGGGGGAUAGCCCGGCGAAAGCCGGAUUAAUACCGCAUACGCUCUACGGAGGAAAGGGGGGGAUCUUAGGACCUCUCGCUACAGGGGCGGCCGAUGGCAGAUUAGCUAGUUGGUGGGGUAAAGGCCUACCAAGGCGACGAUCUGUAGCUGGUCUGAGAGGACGACCAGCCACACUGGGACUGAGACACGGCCCAGACUCCUACGGGAGGCAGCAGUGGGGAAUUUUGGACAAUGGGGGCAACCCUGAUCCAGCAAUGCCGCGUGUGUGAAGAAGGCCUUCGGGUUGUAAAGCACUUUUGUCCGGAAAGAAA